CACUCCUGCGGGAGGCAGCAGUGGGGAAUUUUGGACGAUGGGCGAAAGCCUGAUCCAGCAAUGCCGCGUGAGUGAAGAAGGCCUUCGGGUUGUAAAGCUCUUUUGUCAGGGAAGAAACGGUGAAAGCUAAUAUCUUUUGCUAAUGACGGUACCUGAAGAAUAAGCACCGGCUAACUACGUGCCAGCAGCCGCGGUAAUACGUAGGGUGCAAGCGUUAAUCGGAAUUACUGGGCGUAAAGCGUGCGCAGGCGGUUUUGUAAGUCUGAUGUGAAAUCCCCGGGCUCAACCUGGGAAUUGCAUUGGAGACUGCAAGGCUAGAAUCUGGCAUAGGGGGGUAGAAUUCCACGUGUAGCAGUGAAAUGCGUAGAUAUGUGGAGGAACACCGAUGGCGAAGGCAGCCCCCUGGGUCAAGAUUGACGCUCAUGCACGAAAGCGUGGGGAGCAAACAGGAUUAGAUACCCCUGUAGUCCCAUGA
rnacentral:rRNA from 1 species